rnacentral:rRNA from 1 species
CCGAAUGGGGAAACCCAGUGUGACUCGUCACACUAUCAUUAACUGAAUCCAUAGGUUAAUGAGGCGAACCGGGGGAACUGAAACAUCUAAGUACCCCGAGGAAAAGAAAUCAACCGAGAUUCCCCCAGUAGCGGCGAGCGAACGGGGAGGAGCCCAGAGCCUGAAUCAGCAUGUGUGUUAGUGGAAGCGUCUGGAAAGGCGCGCGAUACAGGGUGACAGCCCCGUACACAAAAGCGCAUGUGCUGUGAGCUCGAUGAGUAGGGCGGGACACGUGGUAUCCUGUCUGAAUAUGGGGGGACCAUCCUCCAAGGCUAAAUACUCCUGACUGACCGAUAGUGAACCAGUACCGUGAGGGAAAGGCGAAAAGAACCCCGGCGAGGGGAGUGAAAAAGAACCUGAAACCGUGUACGUACAAGCAGUGGGAGCACCCUUUGGGUGUGACUGCGUACCUUUUGUAUAAUGGGUCAGCGACUUAUAUUCUGUAGCAAGGUUAACCGAAUAGGGGAGCCGGAGGGAA